rnacentral:rRNA from 1 species
GGACGAACGCUGGCGGCGUGCUUCAUACAUGCAAGUCGAACGAGAAUUACCUCGGGUAAAGGAAAGUGGCGGACGGGUGAGUAAUGUGUAGAGAAUCUGCCCUUUAGUGGGGGACAACAGUUGGAAACGACUGCUAAUACCCCAUAUGCGCGUAGCUGAGAUGCUAUUCGUGAAAACUCCGGUGCUAAAGGAUGAGUCUGCAUCUGAUUAGCUAGUUGGUGGUGUAAUGGACCACCAAGGCGACGAUCAGUAGCUGGUUUGAGAGGAUGAUCAGCCACAAUGGGACUGAGACACGGCCCAUACUCCUACGGGAGGCAGCAGUAGGGAAUUUUGCGCAAUGGGGGGAACCCUGAACCGCAGCAACGCCGCGUGAUUGAAUAAGCCCUUCGGGGUGUAAAGAUCUGUCAGUGGGGACGAAACUUGACGGUACCCACAGAGGAAGCAUCGGCUAACUCCGUGCCAGCCGCCGC